rnacentral:rRNA from 1 species
UACGUAGGGGGCAAGCGUUGUCCGGAUUUAUUGGGCGUAAAGAGCGUGUAGGCGGCCUGACAGGUCUGCUGUGAAAACUCGAGGCUCAACCUCGAGACGUCGGUUGAAACCGUAAGGCUAGAGUCCGGAAGAGGAGAGUGGAAUUCCCGGUGUAGCGGUGAAAUGCGCAGAUAUCGGGAAGAACACCCGUGGCGAAGGCGGCUCUCUGGGACGGUACUGACGCUGAGACGCGAAAGCGUGGGGAGCGAACAGG